rnacentral:lncRNA from 1 species
UUCCUUCGUGGACUUCGCGCAUGGCGUAAUCAGCCUCCGUUGGGCGGAGGCAUCUGAGGAGGGGAGAUGUGAAAGAUCUCCGAUAGAGCCUUCCCUCAUACAAUAUGUACCGGGUGGCGGAGCGCUUGAUUCGGCGAGCCUCUCGUUCAUCAGUGGGGAGGACUUCAUCUUGCAGAUAGCUGAUGAGUUCGUCCAUCCAGCUCGGCUCUAACUCAGUGCAGAGGGUCUGCUCGGGCUCGUCUGUACUGGGCUUUUGGAGAUACUCCAGUACUGCCUCCUUGGGAAGCUCGCUCAUGCGAGAGGACGCCAGCUUUGACAGCUGGUCGGCCCUGAGAUUCUCCGACCUGGCAAUAUGUUGAAUGU